rnacentral:rRNA from 1 species
CGGAGAUGGAUUCUGAGACACGAAUCCAGGCCCUACGGGGUGCAGCAGGCGCGAAAACUUUACAAUGCCGGCAACGGCGAUAAGGGGACCUCGAGUGCCAGGUUACAAAUCUGGCUGUCGUGAUGCCUAAAAAGCAUUGCAUAGCAAGGGCCGGGCAAGACCGGUGCCAGCCGCCGCGGUAACACCGGCGGCUCGAGUGGUAACCGUUAUUAUUGGGUCUAAAGGGUCUGUAGCCGGCCGGAUAAGUCUCUUGAGAAAUCCAGCAGCUCAACUGUUGGGCUUUCAGGAGAUACUGUUCGGCUCGAGGCCGGGAGAGGUGAGAGGUACUUCAGGGGUAGGGGUGAAAUCUUGUAAUCCUUGAAGGACCACCAGUGGCGAAGGCGUCUCACCAGAACGGACCUGACGGCAAGGGACGAAAGCUAGGGGCACGAACCGGAUUAGAUACCCGGGUAGUCCUAGCCGUAAACGAUACUCGCUAGGUGUCGGCCACGGUGCGACCGUUGUCGGUGCCGUAGGGAAGCCGUGAAGCGAGC